rnacentral:ncRNA from 1 species
CAACCUCUGAUCACCGAGAUGCAUGUUG